CCUACGGGUGGCAGCAGUGGGGAAUAUUGCACAAUGGGGGAAACCCUGAUGCAGCGACGCCGCGUGAGUGAGGAAGUAUUUCGGUAUGUAAAGCUCUAUCAGCAGGGAAUAGAAAAGAAGGUACCUGAAAACGAAGCCCCGGCUAACUACGUGCCAGCAGCCGCGGUAAUACGUAGGGGGCAAGCGUUAUCCGGAUUUACUGGGUGUAAAUGGAGCGUAGACGGAAAGGCAAGUCAGAAGUGAAAACCCAAGGCUCAACCAUGGGACUGCUUUUGAAACUGUCAAACUAGAGUACGGGAGAGGUAAGAGGAAUUCCUAGUGUAGCGGUGAAAUGCGUAGAGAUUAGGAGGAACACCAGUGGCGAAGGCGUCUUACUGGACCGAAACUGACGUUGAGGCACGAAGGCCAGGGGAGCGAAAGGGAUUAGAUACCCUUGUAGUC
rnacentral:rRNA from 1 species